rnacentral:rRNA from 1 species
GACGAACUGUGCAAACGUUUAUUCGGAAUCACUGGGCUUGAAGAGUGCGUAGGCGGUUUCGUAAGUAGGGUGUGAAAGCCCUCGGCUCAACCGGGGAAUUGCGUCCUAAACUGCGAGGCUGGAGUGUGGCAGAGGGGGGUGGAAUUCCACGUGUAGCAGUGAAAUGCGUAGAGAUGUGGAGGAACACCCGAUGGCGAAGGCAGCCCCCCUGGGCUAACACUGACGCUCAUGCACGAAAGCGUGGGGAGCAAACAGG